rnacentral:rRNA from 1 species
CAGCAGCCGCGGUAAUACGGAGGGGGCAAGCGUUAUCCGGAAUUAUUGGGCGUAAAGGGUACGUAGGUGGCCUUUUAAGCGUAGGGUAUAAGGCAAUGGCUCAACCAUUGUUCGCCCUAUGAACUGGAAGGCUUGAGUGCAGGAGAGGAAAGCGGAAUUCCUAGUGUAGCGGUGGAAUGCAUAGAUAUUAGGAGGAACAUCAGCGGCGAAGGCGGCUUUCUGGACUGCAACUGACACUGAGGUACGAAAGCGUGGGGAGCAAACAGGAUUAGAGACCCCAGUAGUCCCUGUCUCUUAUACC